UACGUAGGUGGCGAGCGUUGUCCGGAUUUACUGGGCGUAAAGGGAGCGUAGGCGGACUUUUAAGUGAGAUGUGAAAUACCCGGGCUCAACUUGGGUGCUGCAUUUCAAACUGGAAGUUUAGAGUGCAGGAGAGGAGAAUGGAAUUCCUAGUGUAGCGGUGAAAUGCGUAGAGAUUAGGAAGAACACCAGUGGCGAAGGCGAUUCUCUGGACUGUAACUGACGCUGAGGCUCGAAAGCGUGGGGAGCAAACAGGAUUAGAUACCCCGGUAGUCCCU
rnacentral:rRNA from 1 species